UCGGGAUAACACCUGGAAACAGAUGCUAAUACCGGAUAACAACAGAUGAUGCCUAUCAACUGUUUAAAAGAUGGUUCUGCUAUCACUCUUGGAUGGACCUGCGGUGCAUUAGCUAGUUGGUAGGGUAACGGCCUACCAAGGCGAUGAUGCAUAGCCGAGUUGAGAGACUGAUCGGCCACAUUGGGACUGAGACACGGCCCAAACUCCUACGGGAGGCAGCAGNG
rnacentral:rRNA from 1 species